UACGUAGGGUGCAGGCGUUAAUCGGAAUUACUGGGCGUAAAGCGUGCGCAGGCGGUCUCUUAAGACAGGUGUGAAAUCCCCGGGCUUAACCUGGGAACUGCGCUUGUAACUGAGAGGCUAGAGUGUGGCAGAGGGGGGUGGAAUUCCACGUGUAGCGGUGAAAUGCGUAGAGAUCGGGAGGAACACCAGAGGCGAAGGCGGCAAGCUGGAUGGGCACUGACACUCAACUGCGAAAGCGUGGGGAGCAAACAGG
rnacentral:rRNA from 1 species